rnacentral:rRNA from 1 species
GAUGAACGCUGGCGGCGUGCCUAAUACAUGCAAGUCGAGCGAACAGAUGAGGAGCUUGCUCCUCUGACGUUAGCGGCGGGCGGGUGAGUAACACGUGGAUAACCUAUCUAUAAGACUGGGAUAACUUCGGGAAACCGGAGCUAAUACCGGAUAAUAUAGUGAACCGCAUGGUUCAAUAGUGAAAGACGGUUUUGCCGUCACUUAUAGAUGGAUCAGGGCCUGAUUAGCUAGUUGGUAAAGUAACGGCUUACCAAGGCAACGAUGCGUAGCCGACCUGAGGGGCUGCUCCGCCACCCUGGAACUGAGACACGGUCCAGACUCCUCCGGGAGCCAGCAGUAGCGAAUCUUCCGCAAUGGGCGCAAGCUUGACGGAGCCCCGCCGCGUGAGUGAUGAAGAUCUUCGGAUCGUAAAACUCUGUUAUUAGGAAAGAACAAAUGUGUAAUUAUCUAUGCACGUCUUGACGGUACCUAAUCAGACAGCUCCGUCUACCUUCGUG